GAUGAACGCUGGCGGCGUGCCUAAUACAUGCGAGUCGAGCGAACAGACGAGGAGCUUGCUCCUUCGACGUUAGCGGCGGACGGGUGAGUAACACGUGGGUAACCUACCUAUAAGACUGGGAUAACUUCGGGAAACCGGAGCUAAUACCGGAUAAUAUUUCGAACCGCAUGGUUCGAUAGUGAAAGAUGGCUUUGCUAUCACUUAUAGAUGGACCUGCGCCGUAUUAGCUAGUUGGUAAGGUAACGGCUUACCAAGGCAACGAUACGUAGCCGACCUGAGAGGGUGAUCGGCCACACUGGAACUGAGACACGGUCCAGACUCCUACGGGAGGCAGCAGUAGGGAAUCUUCCGCAGUGGGCGAAAGCCUGACGGAGCAACGCCGCGUGAGUGAUGAAGGUCUUCGGAUCGUAAAACUCUGUUAUUAGGGAAGAACAAACGUGUAAGUAACUGUGCACGUCUUGACGGUACCUAAUCAGAAAGCCACGGCUAACUACGUG
rnacentral:rRNA from 1 species